GAUGAACGCUAGCGGGAGGCCUAACACAUGCGAGCCGAGCGGUAUUGUUUCUUCGGAAAUGAGAGAGCGGCGUACGGGUGCGUAACACGUGUGCAACCUGCCUUUAUCUGGGGGAUAGCCUCUCGAAAGGAAGAUUAAUACUCCAUAAUAUAUUGAACGGCAUCGUUUAAUAUUGAAAGCUCCGGCGGAUAGAGAUGGGCACGCGCAAGAUUAGCUAGUUGGUGAGGUAACGGCUCACCAAGGCGAUGAUCUUUAGGGGGCCUGAGAGGGUGAUCCCCCACACUGGUACUGAGACACGGACCAGACUCCUACGGGAGGCAGCAGUGAGGAAUAUUGGUCAAUGGGUGCAAGCCUGAACCAGCCAUCCCGCGUGAAGGACGACUGCCCUAUGGGUUGUAAACUUCUUUUGUAUAGGGAUAAACCUACCCUCGAGAGGGUAGCUGAAGGUACUAUACGAAUAAGCACCGGCUAACUCCGUG
rnacentral:rRNA from 1 species